rnacentral:rRNA from 1 species
AUUGAACGCUGGCGGCAGGCCUAACACAUGCAAGUCGAACGAGUGGCGGACGGGUGAGAAAUGUCUGGGAAACUGCCUGAUGGGGGGGGCUAAAUAAUGGAAACGGUCACUAAUACCGCAUACCAUCGGAUGUGCACAUAGGGGAUUAGCUAGUAGGUGGGGUAAAGGCUCACCUAGGCGACGAUCCCUAGCUGGUCUGAGAGGAUGACCAGCCACACUGGAACUGCGACACGGUCCAGACUCCUACGUGAGGCAGCAGUGGGGAAUAUUGCACAAUGGGCGCAAGCCUGAUGCAGCCAUGCCGCGUGUAUGAAGAAGGCCUUAGGGUUGUAAAGUAAUUUCAGCGGGGAGGCGUUACCCGCAGAAGAAGCACCGGCUAACUCCGUGCCAGCAGCCGCGGUAAUUC